rnacentral:rRNA from 2 species
AUGGCCGUCGUCAGUUCGUGGUUUGAAUUGUACCCUUAAGUGGGCUAACGAACGCAACCCUCGUUGUGUGUUACAAGUGUCACACGAGACCGCCCGUCCCAGUGCCGAGGUUGACUUGUUUGGAACGCGUCCCAGUACCGAUAUUGAAUUUCAAUUUCGGCAAUGGGAUUUGCUUUUAGACGCGUCAACGUCGGUAGCGGGACGGGAGGAAGGAGAGGAUGACGCCAGGUCAGCAUGUCCCUUUGAUAUCCUGGGCUACACACAUAAUACAAUGGCGACUACAACGCGUAGCGACGGGGCGACCCUGAGCUAAUCGUCCAAAAGUGGCCUCGGUUCGGAUUGAAGUCUGCAACUCGACUUCAUGAAGCUGGAAUUGCUAGUAAUCGCAGGUCAGCUAAACUGCGGUGAAUACGUUCUCAAGUCUUGUACUCACAAUAAAAGCGCGCAGCAGCUUAAUUUUCUAAAUGGUUCAAAUCCAUUCCCCCGAUUCGUAAUCGGGGCGUAGCUAAAAGAUAGCCUUUUACCGCAAGGUAAAUGGUGGAGGAUCUGGAAGCAAAAAGCAGCUCGACAAUAAAAGAGCCAGUUGACCUACUAGUGGGUGGUGAGGGUAGGGAAAACUCUUGAAAAGCUCGUUGGGAUGUUUGGAAAAGAAUUUUAAGUGACCUGUGGAGAUCUGACGUUUGCUAUCUUGUUUUAUACAAGAUAUAAUUAAACUUACGCAGCGUCAGAAGUCAGCUGAAUCAUAGUACUUCGAUAUUUUUCGAGGGAAGGCAUUCACUCAAAAUAAAAUUAUGAAUUUUAAAUUUACUAAAAUCAAAUCAAUCGUAGUUUUGUCUAUUUCUUUCUUGGUUGGAAUUUACUUUUUUGUAGUUUCUCCGGGAAUUAUUUUAGAUGGAACGACUUCUUUGACACAGUUGAUUCUGAAUAAAUCCAUAUUCUUUUUCUUUUGGUUUAUUCCAACAUAUAUAGUUCUUUAUGUAUUGUUGAGUUUAUUUCAAAGAAAAUAGUUUUGAGCUCGCCGAAUACGGGAAAUCCGUCCGUUCGGUGGGAACACAAAUUCGUAGUUUAACGAAAGUAUUCGCCCGUCAAGUCAAGGGAGCCGGGAAUACCCGAAGUAUCCGCAUAAGCGGGUCCUAAGGUAAGCUCGGUGACAGGGACUAAGUCGUAACAAGGCACGGGUAGCGGAAGCUGC